rnacentral:rRNA from 1 species
GAACGGGUGAGUAACACGUGGGUGAUCUGCCCUGCACUUUGGGAUAAGCCUGGGAAACUGGGUCUAAUACCGAAUAGGACCACGCGCUUCAUGGUGUGUGGUGGAAAGCUUUUGCGGUGUGGGAUGGGCCCGCGGCCUAUCAGCUUGUUGGUGGGGUAAUGGCCUACCAAGGCGACGACGGGUAGCCGGCCUGAGAGGGUGACCGGCCACACUGGGACUGAGAUACGGCCCAGACUCCUACGGGAGGCAGCAGUGGGGAAUAUUGCACAAUGGGCGCAAGCCUGAUGCAGCGACGCCGCGUGAGGGAUGACGGCCUUCGGGUCGUAAACCUCUUUCAAUAGGGACGAAGCGCAAGUGACGGUACCUGUAGAAGAAGCACCGGCCAACUACGUGCCAGCAGCCGCGGUAAUACGUAGGGUGCGAGCGUUGUCCGGAAUUACUGGGCGUAAAGAGCUCGUAGGUGGUUUGUCGCGUUGUUCGUGAAAACUCACAGCUUAACUGUGGGCGUGCGGGCGAUACGGGCAGACUAGAGUACUGCAGGGGAGACUGGAAUUCCUGGUGUAGCGGUGGAAUGCGCAGAUAUCAGGAGGAACACCGGUGGCGAAGGCGGGUCUCUGGGCAGUAACUGACGCUGAGGAGCGAAAGCGUGGGGAGCGAACAGGAUUAGAUACCCUGGUAGUCCACGCCGUANACGGUGGGUACUAGGUGUGGGUUCCUUCCUUGGGAUCCGUGCCGUAGCUAACGCAUUAAGUACCCCGCCUGGGGAGUACGGCCGCAAGGCUAAAACUCAAAGGAAUUGACGGGGGCNNNCA